AUGUUUUGGAGCCUCUGCAAGGGACAAGCAUGGCAACAAGAUGGAUUUGACAAAUGGUACAAAACGAAUCCUCCGUGGUCCUUACCAGAUUCCAUGAGGGGUGCUCCAGAUCGCGUCGAGACGGUGGCAUUUGCGACGGCGGAGGUGGCGACCUCCCCUGACCCCGUCUUCCUCGGCGACGUCUUCUUCUCAGGCCUGAAGCAUGAAAAGCAUUUCACGGUCCGAAUUCCCCAAUGCAUGUGCCUCUCAACCAAACCUCCUCCUUGUGCCCACCACGAGAUCUCCAACCCCUCUGCUCUUUACAAUCCAGAAGACUCUUUGCACAUGCAAUGGCAGCAUGGACGAGGAGUUCUCCUCCCUUGCUGCAAGAUCCUGGUCACAGAUUGCCAUCGCACUCAUCUUGCAAGAAGAAUGCGAUCCCUGUGGAUGGGAUGUGAUCAGGUAGGAGGAGCAUUGUCACCGUGCCUUUUGUGGAGGUCAAUGUGCUCAGCCAAGAAUAGGAUCUCUCUCGGUUUUAGGCCACAGUUGAGCUCUAAAAUUAGAACGCCUGCCCCUCUGAAGAUCAGCAUCCUCUGGAAUGCACUGGAUGUAAACGCCUUCCAUCAUUCCCUGAAUUUUCUCAUUUGUUGGCCCCAUGGUUGGUAUUCCACAAGGGGAAAUGGCCUGCUCACUGUUUGUGUCCCUGUUGUUGGAAUAGUGGAAAGAAAAAGGGCACCCUAUGUCAUAUGCCACUUCAAUUAUGUCGCUUCUAGCAGAUGCUUCAUUGAGUCUGUUGUGACGUGUUGA
rnacentral:rRNA from 1 species